rnacentral:rRNA from 1 species
CCUACGGGAGGCUGCAGUAGGGAAUCUUCCACAAUGGACGAAAGUCUGAUGGAGCAACGCCGCGUGAGUGAAGAAGGGUUUCGGCUCGUAAAGCUCUGUUGGUAGUGAAGAAAGAUAGAGGUAGUAACUGGUCUUUAUUUGACGGUAAUUACUUAGAAAGUAACGGCUAACUACGUGCCAGCAGCCGCGGUAAUACGUAGGGGGCAAGCGUUGGCCGGAAUUAUUGGGCGUAAAGCGAGGGCAGGCGGUUGAAUAAGUCUGAUGUGAAAGCCUUCGGCUUAACCGGGGAAUUGCAUCAGAAACUGUUGAACUUGAGUGCAGAAGGGGGGGGUAGAACUCCAUGUGUAGCGGUGGAAUGCGUAGAGAUGUGGAGGAACACCGGUGGCGAAGGCGGCUCUCUGGUCUGCGACUGACGCUGAGGCGCGAAAGCAUGGGUAGCGAACAGGAUUAGAUACCCGAGUAGUC